UAUGUCUAGAUAAUAUUAUUUUUAUUGAGGGGCUUUUGGGGGUUCUUUGCUCUGCUCGAGCAGAAGAAACGAUAAGAUAGAAGAGAGAACAGGAGGAAGCGGGAGGAAUCUGCAGGAGCAUGAAAAGCUUCGUGCAAACCCGGCACUGCGGCCACCUCCUCCCUUCUGACCUCUCUUUCUCAGAUGAACUAGGAGCUAGACUAGCAGCACAUGAGAGCGCUUUGGAUAUCGGGGAUCAGUUUGAAGGACCAGGUAGAAACGUUAGUUAUUUUAUAUGUAUUUUUUUUGUAUAGAGUGUAUUUGAAUAUGUUACGACCUGAAAUUUUUGUUUUGUUUAGUUUAGUAAUUGAUUGAGAAAAGAAAAUUACUCUCUUUUGAGAUGUAUAUACAUAUUAGAGCUUACCAUAUUGGUUUUAUAUUUUUGAGAGUUUAUGGAAAGCCAGUUUUAGGUGAAUAGUUAUGUGGUAAUGGAUAUACAGGAAAUACAGGGAAAAUUCAGCUGAAAUUUCGGGUUGUGACA